AUAUAUAAGAGGCACUCUAUAAAAUAUUACAUUCAGUUCAAACCCAUGAUUCAGCAAUAAUAGAGGCCCAUCAGUGUUUUCAAUAAAUCUGUUUUUCUUGGUUGUCCUCACCUAUUAAACACCUUGCCCUCUCUCUCAACUCUCUUCUUUGUAUUUUCCUCUCACAGUUCAUGAAGCGGUUCACAGCUAUGGAACGUCAUUGCCAUUUUACCUUCCUGUUCACUCAUUUAUCUCUGAGGAAAACAAGAUCAUGGAUGGCUGCUUCUGCAUCUUCUGUAGGUUCUGUUUUCCAUAGGUGUUGACAUGACUAAGGAACUCUAGGAGAGACUGUCUGUUAACGAUCUGCAGGCCUUGUAAAACUGGAACAUGGGGUAAAAUAAAAGUGGGCCGAAUACUGAUCCCUGCGGAAUACCACUUGGAAAUCAGAUCCAAACACGCUUGACUGACGUCUUACCCAUAUUCCCACCGUCGGGCACCUGUAUGAUUCUGGCACUGUUUUCCCCUCCACAUUUCAUGGUUAAAUUGUACUGAUCCCUGUGAGAGCCACGCAGUAAUGGCUCAUGAAGAGAAACUGUCUGAAGUAACCAGCCAACAACUGCGGCCAGUUCACCCUGUAGGCCAUUUAUACAGACUUCAUCAAAACAUCGUUUUCCAGUGAGACAAGAACAACUUGAGCUGUAUCUUAAAAAAGGGGGGACAUUCAAAGGUGGAGGAGAUGGCGAGCACUUGUGAGGAUAAAGGAAUCCAUUCGAUAUUGUUUGGAACCUUUGGUUUUCGUGUGUCGGUAAAUAAGAGCAGGGCACAGCCUCUCCGGUGAAUGCUCUUUAGUUCGGACAGAUAAUGAGAGAACACUCUACAUACACACACAGGACCGUGUUGAGCCACUUUAAGUUUGUGAAUUCAGUGUGAAAGACACUGAAUACAGAAAAGGGAACCCAACUGAGAGGUGAGAAGCCAUGCUCAGCUGCUCUGUGUCCCUUAUGACCUGAAAAGUCCUGUUAGGAAACACUUGCUGCCACAAUUCAGUUUUUCUUCCAUAUCAGGAGGUUUAUGACCCUUCUUGCCAUUUUACACAUUAAAACUGUGGUCUAUCUGCAUCUGCUUUCCAAAAAUAACAUUUGUUUGGCUGCAUAAUUAGCUGGCCAAAUAUUUGUGCUGACUAAUUUGUCGAAGUAUUCUCCUGAUGCGUAAUCCAUUAGCUCCCAUCAGGUGCCUUUGUCUCCAAUCCAAAUGAGCCAUUUGCAUUUCCUUUGUUAUUUAAAUCGUGCAUUUCCUCCAAACUGUGAGAAUUAACUUCCUAAUGAACUUCACACAAAAGAGAAGGGACCUCAAUUACAAACUCUCUCCUCAGGCUAACGUAAUGAUGCGAACAAGAGAGACACUUGUCAUGAUUAGGGGAGUAUCGUGAGCUGGAGAAUAGGCCACGGGAAGAGAUCAGCAGGACUGAUGCUGAUGGAUUACUCACAAGCAAGGAUUCCAACAGCCUUUGAGUAACAAGGCGUGACAUUUAAGUCUGUCUAAGCAUGAAAAGAUAGUUUUGGGAAAAUGCAACAUGACGUGGUUUUUCAGGCAAGAGAUGAGUCAAAAAAAAAAAACCUUGAUUUUGACAUCAACAAAAUGUUUAUGGG